UCAAUUGGUAGGUCUUUUUUAAAUAAAAGAGAAAAUAACGGUUUUGGAUCUUCUAAUGCUUAUUGAAUACAACCCAUAACUAAGGACCAACCCAAAUUUUUCUUAAAAUUAAAUAAAAAGUUAUUCAGUGGUCUUUUAGAUACUGGAGCUGAUGUCUCUGUUAUUUCAGCAGCAAGCUGGCCCACAAAUUGAAAAAAAAGAAAAUUACCAUAACUCAAUUCCAAGGUAUUGGUCGGAGUCAAAGAUUAACACAAAGUUCCAAAUUGCUACAAUGGGAGGAUAAAGCAGGUAAAGCUACAAGACAUGUUAUUGCCCGUUGCUUACAAGCUUUUGCUUCCCUAGGAACUCCAAAGCAGAUUAAAACGGAUAAUGGACCUGCUUAUAUUUCUGCCUCUUUCAGAAAUUUUUGUGUAACUUUCUAUCUCAUGUUACUGACAUUCCUUAUAAUCCUCAGGGUCAAGACAAUAUUCUACAUACACAUAACACUUUAAAACAAUAUUUUAAUGAUAUAAACAAAAGGGGGAGUUUAGGGUUCUUGCCCAUUCUCCUAACAAAUGGCUCUCACGUGCUUUAUUCAUUUUAAAUUUUUUCACAUUGGAUAAAGAUGGUCGUCUUGCAGCUAUUCAACAGUGGCAUCCACAAACAGCUGGGGUAAGAACAAUGGUAAAAUGAAAGGAUCCUAUCACCAAUCAAUGGAAUGGACCUGAUCCAGUACUGGUAUGGGACAUGGGCUCUUAAGGGAUGGGUAUUUUUAUGCAACCAAUUUGCUUUUACAUUGUUAGCCCCUAAUGAUUUUCACAACUGCUCAUUGGGCCGUGUGGCCCCAAUGCUAACAUCUGUAUUUCCAAAGGCACAACAGUGACACUCAUUACCUGAGAACUGUGAUGAUGAUGUCAUCUUAAUUGGAGACCUGCUUUCACCAUGGCUAUACAGCUAGUGGGAGUUCCUGGAUUGGCUUAUGGAAAUAAUUGUGGACUACGAAGGCUUACACGUUUGAUGACCAAAACAAUCAAUCUUAUUACUACUGCACUAUCCAAUAUAGCUAAAAAAUUGGAUCAAGUUCUUUCAGGAGUACUCUUAAACCGAGCAGCUAUCGAUUAUUUGCUGUUAAAAGAUCAUGUAAGCUGUAAAUCUGUUCCAGGAGGAUGUUGUUUUAACAUUACUAACAAUGCCAUAUAUCGAGUCUGUUAUUGAUAAACUUAAGAGUAAAAUGCAACAUAUGUUUAUUACUAACCCACUAACAUUUGAAGGGUUUCAAUGGAUUCAUUGGUUAUUAAUGCGGGCUAGAUUGUUACUGAUUUUCAUACUUUGUAUGGGUUGUUUUCCAUGUGUUCUACAAUUUGUGCUAUCUUCGCUACAGUCUGUAUGGACUGACAUUCAUCACUUAAAACUUUGUACCAAACCUCCUUUGUAAUCAAAAAUAAUUAAUAUUUGGCUGUAUGUUUCAUCUCUCACCUAAUGUUGGGCUAAAAUGGUACUUAAAAAUGGGUAAGACACUCCACAUCCUGUACCUACCUAAGACAGGGCUCAAGUUAAAGAAUGGGUCACUAUCGGUUGCUUGUGUGUCAUGAUACUACUGGGCCUUGCCUUCAUAGCCAGAUGGAUCAGAGCCUUAGCACUCCGUCAGCAGAAUACCAACUUGAUAAUCCAACAGGCUACGCUGGCCACCUUGUGAUCUCACCCCAAUAAAGAAGUAUGGCUUAGCAUGAUGGAGCGGUAGUCAAAGACGGGUAAACACUGAUGGGCGCUCCUAGCAACCUAAGACAGAGGGUAGGACAGGCUUCCUAUUACCUCCAUGACGGGUAAGCAGGUAGCGCGCCAUUGGGUACCUAAGACAGGCACGUUUCCAUGCCAUUUAAAUAAUAAAGAAGGGGGAGAUGUGGGGCUCCAUGGGAUGCGCAGCCAUGGAGCCCCCACGUCAAGGUCGGUCUGAUAGCUGUUGCUGUGUCUUUAUCACAAGGCGAAUGUUGCUAGUUUCAGUUAGGGCAAUGCUUUCCCACGGUCGGGACGUUCCAGAGGAGUUGAGAAUGUUGUAAACAACAAGAUGGCGCCGAGGACCGCGCGGUGAGCCUGCCUGCUGCGUGACACCUCAUCUGAUUGGCCCGAGGAUGCGUGCACACUGCAUGAACAGACAGCGGAUUGGAGUGUUCCGUGCAUGGACUUGAGCCCGCUUGCAAUUGGCCAGAUUUUGUAUAUAAGCUAUGUGCUGAGGAAGGAGGGGGCUUUCCUGUCCACUCUCCUCCUUUCAUUCUUUCUCUGUCCCUGUUAUUUUCCCAUUAAAAGUCUGCUGAAGACCGA